GUUUUAUUCUUGCUUGAUAAAUUUACUUUUGAUUAAUUUUAUAUGUAUAUUUUUGUUUAAUUUAAUCUAAAAGAUUAAUUUGUAACAAUAUUUUUCAGUAAUAAAUAUUAAUAAUUGGAGAUAUUCUUAUUUAGUUAUAUUAUAAGGAUUGAUAAAGUAUGUGCCAGCAUUCGCGGUUAUACAUAAAAUUCAAGUGAAUUAAAUUAGUUAAUUAGUUAUUAUUAAUUGUAAAUAUAAUUUUAGGGUUUUAAGGUGAAAUUUAAAGUUUUGUGAAGUGUUUGUUAAUAAGAGGCUAUGAAAUCCGUUUCAAUAGACUAGGAUUAGAUACCCUAUUAUUAUGGAUGUAAAGUAAGUAAACUUGAGUAGUAUUUGUUAUGGUCUUGAAACUUAAAGAAUUUGGCGGUAUUUUAGUCUAUUUAGAGGAAUCUGUCCCGUAAUCGAUAAUCCACGUUGAACCUUACUUGAUAAAUUAGCAUGUAUAUCUCCGUUGUUGAAAAUCUUUUUAGGGUAAUUUCUUGAAUUUUUAUUAACAAAAAUUUCAGGUCAAGGUGCAGUUUAUGAUUGAGUGGAGAUGGAUUACAAUAUUUCUAGAUAUAUGAAUAAUUAAUUGUAAUGAAUAAUUUGAAGGUGGAUUUAAUAGUAAAUUUGUGAAGAUUAUUAAGUUGAUUAUAGCUCUAAGAUGUGCACACAUCGCCCGUCACUCUCGUUAAUUAAGAUGAGAUAAGUCGUAACAAAGUAGGUGUACCGGAAGGUGUAGCUAGAAUGU
rnacentral:ncRNA from 1 species